rnacentral:rRNA from 1 species
AAGUUAUUAAGGGCGUACGGGGGAUGCCUAGGCUCUCAGAGACGACGAAGGACGUGAUAAGCUGCGAAAAGCUACGGGGAGGUGCAAAUAACCAUUGAUCCGUAGAUGUCCGAAUGGGGCAACCUAGUAUUGUGAAGCAAUACUGCAUAGCGUUAACCCGGGGAACUGAAACAUCUAAGUACCCGGAGGAAAAGAAAUCGAAGAGAUUCCCUGAGUAGCGGCGAGCGAAACGGGACUAGCCUAAAGCUGUAAAGUUAGUGGAAGUGUUCUGGAAAGGCACACCAAAGAAAGUGAAAGUCUUGUACACGAAAGCAAUACAGUGGAAUUAAGUAGGGCGGAACACGAGAAAUUCUGUCUGAAGAUGGGGAGACCAUUCUCCAAGGCUAAAUACUCCUGAGAGACCGAUAGUGAACCAGUACCGUGAGGGAAAGGCGAAAAGAACCCCGGAGAGGGGAGUGAAAUAGAACCUGAAACCGUAUGCGUACAAGCAGUGGGAGCCUACUUGUUAGGUGACUGCGUACCUUUUGUAUAAUGGGUCAGCGACUUAAUCUAACGAGCAAGCUUAAGCCGAUAGGUGUAGGCGCAGCGAAAGCGAGUCUUAAUAGGGCGCUUUAGUUCGUUGGAUUAGACCCGAAACCGAGUGAUCUAGCCAUGAGCAGGUUGAAGGUGCGGUAACACGCACUGGAGGACCGAACCCACCUCUGUUGAAAAAGGGCGGGAUGACUUGUGGCUAGGGGUGAAAGGCCAAUCAAACUCGGAAAUAGCUGGUUCUCCGCGAAAUCUAUUUAGGUAGAGCGUCAUCCGAAUACCCCGGGGGGUAGAGCACUGGAUGGGUAAUGGGGCCCCACAGGCUUACUGAUCCUAACCAAACUCCGAAUACCCGGGAGUACUAGAUGGCAGACACACGGCGGAUGCUAACGUCCGUCGUGGAGAGGGAAACAACCCUGACCUCCAGCUAAGGCCCCUAAUUCAUGGCUAAGUGGGAAAGCAGGUGGGACGACCAAAACAACCAGGAGGUUGGCUUAGAAGCAGCCAUCCUUUAAAGAAAGCGUAACAGCUCACUGGUCUAAAUAAGGGUUCUUGCGGCGAAAAUGUAUCGGGGCUAAAGCCAUGCACCGAAACUGCGGGGUUCUUCGGAACCGGUAGCGGAGCGUUCUGUAAGCUGAUGAAGGGUAACCGCGAGGAAGCCUGGAGGUAUCAGAAGUGAGAAUGCUGACAUGAGUAACGACAAAGAGUGUGAGAGACA